GACGAACGCUGGCGGCGUGCUUAACACAUGCAAGUCGAACGGAAAGGCCCUGCUUGCAGGGUGCUCGAGUGGCGAACGGGUGAGUAACACGUGGGUGAUCUGCCCCUUACUUUGGGAUAAGCCUGGGAAACUGGGUCUAAUACUGGAUAGGACCAUGCUGUAGGUGGUGUGGUGGAAAGAUUAGUUUCGGUAAGGGAUGAGCUCGCGGCCUAUCAGCUUGUUGGUGGGGUAAUGGCCUACCAAGGCGUCGACGGGUAGCCGGCCUGAGAGGGUGGACGGCCACAUUGGGACUGAGAUACGGCCCAGACUCCUACGGGAGGCAGCAGUGGGGAAUAUUGCACAGUGGGCGCAAGCCUGAUGCAGCGACGCCGCGUGGGGGAUGACGGCCUUCGGGUUGUAAACUCCUUUCAGCCAUGACGAAGCCCUUGUGGUGACGGUAGUGGUAGAAGAAGCACCGGCUAACUACGUG
rnacentral:rRNA from 1 species